GCAAGUCGAGCGUGAAAGCCUUCGGGUGAGUAGAGCGGCGGACGGGUGAGUAACGCGUGGGAAUCUACCUAGUAGUGGGGGACAACAGUCGGAAACGACUGCUAAUACCGCAUACGUCCUAAGGGAGAAAGUGGGGGCUCCAUUUAUGGACCUCACGCUAUUAGAUGAGCCCGCGUAAGAUUAGCUAGUUGGUGGGGUAAAGGCCUACCAAGGCGACGAUCUUUAGCUGGUCUGAGAGGAUGAUC
rnacentral:rRNA from 1 species